AAUCUACACCCCCUAACCUUCUAAAUCAUCGACACAUAACCCAUAAACCUUGUAAAGAUGCAAUGUGAUUUAUUCCCAUUGCUCUGCAUGUCAAAGUGAAUAAAUUCAACCAAGCAUGGGUAAAUGGUGGGAGUAACUAUGACUAUCUUAAGGUAGCUAAAUUCCUCAUCAUAUAAUUAGUGAUUCACAUGAACGGGUCAUUAACGAGAUUCCCCACUGUCCCUAGCUACUAUAUUCUAGAGAAACCACAUCCAAGGGAAUGGGCUUGGAAGAAUUAGCGGGGAAAGAAGACCUUGUUGAGCUUGAAUCUAGUCCUAACCCAUUCAUAGUUUGGGA
rnacentral:ncRNA from 1 species